rnacentral:lncRNA from 1 species
UUAAUGGUGUAAAUUAAAGAAUCAAAAUCAAUUGAUUUUUUAUAAAAAGAUUUAUUUAUUAUUUAGAUUAAAAUCAAUAACUUUGAUCUUGAUUAAAAGUCAUCUAUUUUUAGGUAGUUGUUUAAUUUGGACUUUUCAUUUUGUACUUGCUUGAUGAAUUUUAUUAUAAUUUCAGAAUUUUCUAAAAAUUCGAUUUUACUUUAAAUCAUGUUUAAUGAUAUAGAUCUUAAAUUUGAAAGCUCUAUUAUUAUGGAAAACGAUUAUGAGUAUAAGAUAACUCUACUCUAUAUAUAUAUAUAUAUGGAC